AUGGACGCGCCGGCCCCCGACAACAUCGCCGCUGAGAAGGGCGGGCAGCAACAGAUGCACCAGGACGAGAAGGAGCACAGGCCGAUGUUCAGGAGAGUCAAGGACAGGAUGAGGAAGAUGAAGAACACCAUCGCCGGCCACGGCCACGAUCACGAUCACGAUCACGAGCAGGACACCGGGGGCGGUGAUAGCAACAGCACCGGCGAGGACGAGGAGAAUGCGGCGACGAGGGAAGCCGAGGUGGAGAAGGGCGGAUACCAGCAGCAAGUCGUCGAGGACAAGCCCAUCUUCGCGGACUCCAGUCCCGAGCACAACGACGCUCCGGGGGUGCGGCUUGGUGACCUUGGCGCCACGGCAGCGACGCAGGAGGUGAAGCGCGACGACGCUCCUGGGGUGCGGCUUGGUGACCUUGGCGCCCCGGCAGCGGCGAAGGAGGUGAAGCGCGACGACGCUCCGGGGGUGCGGCUCGGCGAUCUCGGCAGCCCUGUCGUCGAGGACCCGGCCGUGCUGAACUCGAGGACGCCCAUGCCGCGAGGUGGCGAAGACAUCGGCACGGCGGACGCCGUCCGUAACUUCGAGGCGAUGACUGUGUCAGACGACCCCAAGCAAGUCGGCGCACGGAAGAUGGACGUCGACGUGAGCAAAGAGUAUGAGGCAAUGCCGGUGUCGGACGGCACCGGGGAGGAAUGGAACGACGCACCCACGGACGCCGAGUACACCGGGAGCGACACGGACAGGCUCAAGAACACGGCAGCUGGCACGGUAUAUGAGAAGGUCGCCGGCGUCGGCACGGUCGUGGCGAGCAAGGCGCAGCAGGUCACCCCCGGCUUCGGCGCUGGCGGGAACGCGCAGGACGACUCCAGCGCAACUGCCGCCCCUGAAUCGGUGACCGCAGGUGCCGGGAAGAGGGACCUCGACUUGCCGCAAGAGGGAACGCGGGCGUCCUACACCGGCACGGCAACGGACGCGACGGCCACGGAGGGGCUGAAGAACGCAGCCACGGACGCGACGGGCACGGAGGGCGCGCCUGGCGCGACGUACACCGACAUGAUCAAGUCUGCGGCGGCGGGCACCACGGAGUACGGCAAGAAGCUGGCGAGCACGGUGUACGACAUGAUCAAGUCUGCGGUGGCGGGCGCCACGGAGUACGGCAAGAAGCUAGCGAGCACGGUGUACGAGAAGGUGGCCGGCGUCGGCACGGCCGUGGCGAGCAAGGCCCAGCAGGUGACGACAUCGGCCGGCACCGCGGUGCUUCACGGCGCGGCUCCAAGGACCAACACGAAUGUGAUGUGA
rnacentral:rRNA from 1 species